rnacentral:rRNA from 1 species
CACGAAGUUGGAAUUGCUAGUAAUCGUGGAUCAGCAUGCCACGGUGAAUACGUUCCCGGGUCUUGUACACACCGCCCGUCACACCAUGGGAGUCGGUAACACCCGAAGUCAGUAGUCUAACCGCAAGGAGGACGCUGCCGAAGGUGGGAUUGACGACUGGGGUGAAGUCGUAACAAGGUACC